UGAAAUGUUCGAGCGAAAGACUGUACUCUGUCCCUCACGGCCUCGCGUUCGUCCAAACGGUGUCUUUGGUCUGUAAUAAAGCAGUCUGUGCAGCUGUGAGACGCAUUAAUCAUGGUCUCCAACACAAACAUCAUAUGAUCUGUAGUGGAGCGUGCGGCGCAGCAGGUGGCGCUGUUCGUCUGUGAUCUGAGAGCUGAAGAUCAUCACAAUCACAGCAGACCAGUUGUUAUGUCACAUCACUGAUUUGAAAAAGCUCUGAAUGACACGGACUGAUUGUUCAUGUGAAUCCAUCAGUGCUUCAUCUGUCACAUUCUCAUCACACAGAUUACCCACGAUGCACCGCGGCGGGCCUGCGUGUGAAUGUGUCCGUGUCUCGUCUUCAGCCUCAGGCUCAAGUAUCUGAAGAUCGUCCGGCGUCUCGCUGCCAAUAAGGUCAAAGAUCAAACGUUAUCAAACAGGCCGUGGACAUUCCUGAGCGGCGCCUUCACUCCGACGGGACGGAUGUGGAAUUUUGGACGGAUGUGCACCUAAAGCCCAGCAGGCUGUUGUUGUGGCUGUUUUUUGGCCGAUUCAUCAAUGAGAUCAUUGAUGAGAAAGAGAACUCCAACUGACUAUUCAGCUUAGCUAAUGAAAGUACAAGAAAAAAGAAAAAAACGGAACUGCUGAAAGCACCAGUGACGGCGUCCAGAGGAACACACAGACACUUGCUGUCUCUUUUUUUUAUCCACAAGGAGGCGACCGAAGACCGUCAACGCCAGCACCAAUUGCGACUUAGCAGACAUGAUUGAAAAAAGCUGCAUGAAUCUGUCAGUAAUGAGCACAGCUGCUGUAAACAAUGGUAAAAGCUGCUUGUUUUGCAUAUCCGCAGUUGUAAUUCAUCUGGUUUCCCUCUUUAAAUGCUGAAUACAGAACGCUGCCACCUGCUGUUUGGGAGACUCAUGUUCUACACAUUAGUAGUUUGUCCGGUGUGUUGUAGCGCAGGUGAUGUGAGAUGACCCACAUUCAGUUUCCUCAGCGCUCGAUCUUUGGUGUUGGUUUGGUGUGUCCCGACCCCAACCUGAAACUACUUCAUGGAAAUGUAUUUAAAUCUGUUUUAAAAUAAAAGCGCGAGUGAAGCUGC